AGACAAUGAAUCACGCGAUACUUUCGCUAGAGAGUCACGUACAAGAUGCUGAAGAAAAGAUUUCAAGCGAGAGUUCUACGUCACAUUUAGAUCAUUAUCCACAAUUUAUCGUUAAUUUUGCGAACGUUGCAUAAUUAUUCAACGUGCUAGAAAAUCGUAUAGCUCGCCUCUUCAAAACAUGAAAUUGUUAACCAAUUGAUAAAUUAACCGUUUAUUAAUUACAUUUUUAAAACUUUUUCUAAUAAUAAAUAUUAUAUUGUGCUGAUAAAAAAGUCUAAUGACGUCAAUUCGCAAAAACAUUAUUGCAAAAACAGCUUUAUUAUAUUGUUGACUGACAUCACUGGGAUUUAUCUCAGAAGAUCUUAGUAAUCGCACACGUAUCAUCUCAUCAAUGAUCUCCGACCGAUUAAUGUUCGUGCUGAGUCACGACUAAAGGUCACCGAUAAGUUGUUUUUUUAAUGAAAGUAUUAAUUUUCUGUAAUCCGAAAUACAAAACGAAUGUAAUAAGCGGCGUUAAACUUCAACCUUUAAAUAGUAGCACUGGUCAACGGAAAAGGAAAGUGACGGUAGAAGAAAUCAGCCUACGGCUACGAACUCUUACUUUCUCGCUUCCGCUUUCCCCAAAGUCUCUUCUGAUCUCGAAAUCUGCCGCUGCAUCUCCUACUGCAUCGCUUAUGAUUAAAAUAAGAAAUCGAUGUACAGUAACUAGUAUGUUCUAUUGCGUGUAAUAAUGAUAGGUUUCUUCUUGGAAUACUGUUUUAUAGUACAAUAUGAGAGCAAAAAUGUAAUUACACGCUUGCACAAAGCAAUAAAACCAGAUACUUAUAAUACAAAGAAAAUUAUGAAAUAGUGAUAAGUAACAAGAAAUAUAUAAGAAGUUGUAUUGAUGCAUUGCUCGAUGACUUUAUAAAAGAGUAGUAAACAAUUACUUGUUGCGAAUAGCAAUGGCUUACAAUAUUUAUAACGCAAUAAUACUUGUAGUGUUGCAACACAAAAAAUAUAAGACGUAACGAUUUUUAA